CCUUUGCCAACCCCUAAAAUAGAAACCCCUGAGAAAAAACAGGAGCAUCCCUCAGAAACACAAGAAGUCUGUCUAAGAUUUGGUUACAUGUAAAGAUUGGCUUCUGCUGGCUUUGCUCUUACAGAAUUCCCACCGAGCUGCUUGCCUGCCUCUGAGUCACUCAGCAGCCAGCCUCCCUCUUUGGGAAAAGAAACAUGUGUAAACUUGCUGAACAAGUCUCUCAGACUCCGAUUUGACUCUGCAAUGCCAGGCAACUGGGGUGACUGACAAUGGAAUGUUCUCUAUGAAAAACCAGAUGCCUGUUGU
rnacentral:lncRNA from 1 species